UACGAAGGGAGCAAGCGUUGUCCGGAAUUAUUGGGCGUAAAGAGCUCGUAGGCGGUCUGUCGCGUCGGCUGUGAAAUCCCGAGGCUCAACCUCGGGUCUGCAGUCGAUACGGGCAAACUGGAGGGUUGCAGGGGAGACUGGAAUUCCUGGUGUAGCGGUGAAAUGCGCAGAUAUCAGGAGGAACACCGGUGGCGAAGGCGGGUCUCUGGGCCGUAACUGACGCUGAGGAGCGAAAGCAUGGGGAGCGAACAGG
rnacentral:rRNA from 1 species